GUCCAUGUUUUACAAAUGAGUCCAGUCCAUGUUUUACAAAUGAGUCCAGUCCAUGUUUUACAAAUGAGUCCAGUCCAUGUUUUACAAAUGAGUCCAGUCCAUGUUUUACAAAUGAGUCCAGUCCAUGUUUUACAAAUGAGUCCAGUCCAGGUUUUACAAAUGAGUCCGGUCCAGGUUUUACAAAUGAGUCCAGUCCAGGUUUUACAAAUGAGUCCAGUCCAGGUUUUACAAAUGAGUCCAGUCCAGGUUUUACAAAUGAGUCCAGUCCAGGUUUUACAAAUGAGUCCAGUCCAUGUUUUACAAAUUUCAUUGUUCUGAGUCCAGUCCAUGUUUUACAAAUGAGUCCAGUCCAGGUUUUACAAGUCCAGUCCAGUCCAGGUUUUACAACAUGCC